GAUGAACGCUGGCGGCGUGCCUAAUACAUGCAAGUCGAGCGAACGGACGAGAAGCUUGCUUCUCUGAUGUUAGCGGCGGACGGGUGAGUAACACGUGGAUAACCUACCUAUAAGACUGGGAUAACUUCGGGAAACCGGAGCUAAUACCGGAUAAUAUUUUGAACCGCAUGGUUCAAAAGUGAAAGACGGUUUUGCUGUCACUUAUAGAUGGAUCCGCGCUGCAUUAGCUAGUUGGUAAGGUAACGGCUUACCAAGGCAACGAUGCAUAGCCGACCUGAGAGGGUGAUCGGCCACACUGGAACUGGGACACGGUCCAGACUCCUACGGGAGGCAGCAGUAGGGAAUCUUACGCAAUGGGCGAAAGCCUGACGGAGCAACGCCGCGUGAGUGAUGAAGGUCUUCGGAUCGUAAAACUCUGUUAUUAGGGAAGAACAUAUGUGUAAGUAACUGUGCACAUCUUGACGGUACCUAAUCAGAAAGCCACGGCUAACUACGUG
rnacentral:rRNA from 1 species